CAGCUAUGAGCCAAACUUGGGACGUUUGGUUUUUAGCAGGUGGAGAGACCGUCUGGGCAGCAGAAACAACACAACUAAUCAUAUUUAGAUACAAUCAAAUGUCCAAACCAUCUCUGAGUGAAUGACAUCAAGGAAACAGGAUCAACAGAUCAUUCAUUAUAGGCCGUUUCGUAGUUGGUUAUAUUUUUCAGGUCCUCCUGAUCAUUCUGUUCUCCUGGUUGUGAGGAUGUG